GACGAACGCUGGCGGCGUGCCUAAUACAUGCAAGUCGAGCGGAUCUUGCAGAGUAGCUUACUACUUUGCUUGGUUAGCGGCGGACGGGUGAGUAACACGUAGGCAACCUGCCUGCAAGACCGGGAUAACAUUCGGAAACGAAUGCUAAGACCGGAUACGCAGCUUCCUCGCAUGAGGGGGCUGGGAAAGACGGAGCAAUCUGUCACUUGCGGAUGGGCCUGCGGCGCAUUAGCUAGUUGGUGGGGUAACGGCUCACCAAGGCAACGAUGCGUGGCCGACCUGCGAGGGUGAACGGCCACACUGGGACUGAGACACGGCCCAGACUCCUACGGGAGUCAGCAGUAGGGAAUCUUCCACAAUGGGCGAAAGCCUGAUGGAGCAACGCCGCGUGAGUGAGGAAGGCUUUCGGGUCGUAAAGCUCUGUUGCCAGGGAAGAAUAGAAGCGAGAGUAACUGCUCGCUUUGUGACGGUACCUGAGAAGAAAGCCCCGGCUAACUACGUGCCAGCAGCCGCGGUAAAAC
rnacentral:rRNA from 1 species